rnacentral:tRNA from 1 species
CCUCUCAUGGCGUAGUGUUUAACGCGCCCCAACUAGAGAUCGGGGAGUCGUGAGUUCGAUUCUCACUGAGAAGA